CAAAACAAGUUUAUAUCAAAUCCAGCUUCCCAGAAACACUAAUAUUUAAGUAUGUCAAUGUACUAAAUAAAUCAUUCACUUGUACCCAUGGGGAAGAUUUGGUGUGACUGCCCUUCACAGUAAAAAAAGAAAAAUCUUUUAUUUUAAAAAUUAGAUUAGGAAAUGUUACAUAACUUAUAACUUGGCACUUUAGUAGUGUAUACACUAGCAUUAGUUUACACACUACUUUUGCCACUGGGCCAUUCAAGUUGAAAUGGCCCUCAGUCAUAGAACUCUGGAAUAUGUCUUUCAUUCAUAAUUUCUGCUCAGAUAAUACCUUGCCAUCUAGGUUAGUUUUGUUCAUGCUAUAAAACAAAGGCAAGUCAUUCAGAUUACUGUUUAUGUAGGUUCAGUCAGAUCCAACCACGGAUUCGAGUUACUGUACUAUAUAACCCUAUAAAAUACAUAAAAGUAUUAUUACUUUGCCUCUGUAAUAGAACCCGAGAGACUAUUCUGUUUCAGUUUAUGAAUUCACCGUUUGCACAAAGAGAUUUUCAUUCCCAAAGUUUGGGAAAGAAUGACAAAACAAUGAGGGAAGAGCGAGCCAGGCGUUAGUGCCACAUAUUUUUCUCUAGGGGUUGUAAGGUAGAGUGUCCUUUCAAGAACACUUAAUUGUAUUUCACUUACAGACCUGAUUUUCUGUGUCAAAGUAUAAUUCUCAUGCUGAAGCUCUAGCCUAAAAAGGCAGAAAACAGUUAUCUUCAUUCUACAACAUAUUCAUCACUUUAAUAAGAAGGGAACAAAAUUUAGGAUUCAAGCUGAGUGAGAAUACUGUUUCAAGUGAACAUGUUCCCUAAGAUGAAUCAGAACUGGCAGUUGAUUUCCCACCAGUAAAAAUAUGCUGAAGGGCUAAUGCACAUUGAGAAAAAUCUGACAUACUGAAUAAAUAAUGUUCAUGUGGGAGCCAGGAGCUGGGUUAGCCUUGCCUUUAGACUGUGACUACAGAAAUAAAGGCAGCACUUUUGGAACUAAUAACAGCCUUAACUUGUAUCCUAAAGAGGAUUGCCCAACUGAACUUUUGCUCCCACCAGCUCGGUAUUUAUUUCUGCCUAAGUACUCACCUUCCAAUUUUACCCAAGUAUUUAGGAUAGAAAAACAAAUGCAUUAUAUUUGAGAGCUACUUCGCCCACAUUACAAAAUGAGUCAGUGUUUUCAGUUUCAAGGGACAGUAAAAAGAAAGGAUUUGUUCCCUUCAGUGACUUGUUUGGGUAUUUCUGUGUUACGCCUAAGUUUCUAGCAAAGGAAGGGUAGAAAGGAGUUGAAAAUUACACUACUUGGGAAUAAAGGGCUUUUUGAGGGGGAUAUGGGUAUUAAACGUUUCCAUUAGGCAGUUGUUUUUUUGAAUAUGCCUAAACAGUAUUCCUGACAAGAAACAUGCCAAUUACCUGACGUUCCUUGUCCCCAGUACAACAGGCCACUCACGAUAUCACAAAAAGUUCCUCAUUUCAAACAGUGUACAUAUUUCUUUAUGGUUCAUUAUAGUAAGGCUUGACCUGUAAACAGUAUCUGAUCGCCCACCUAUAAAUAAAAUUCAGCAUUCUAUUUUUAAUAAUGUGUAUGCCACCAAUUUGUAUUAUUUGUCUCAAUAAAUACUUAGUCAUCAACACGUC